rnacentral:rRNA from 1 species
UACGUAGGUGACGAGCGUUAUCCGGAAUACUGGGCGUAAAGCGCACGCAAGCGGUCUGACAAGUCUGGCGUGAAAUUCUCUGGCUUAACCAGGGGGGGUCGCUGGAAACUGUUGGGCUUGAGGCGUGAGAGGGGUGCAGAAUUCCCGGUGUAGUGGUGGAAUGCGUAGAGAUACGGGAGGAAUACCAGUGGCGAAAAGCGGCACCCCUGGCGUCGUACUGACGCACAUGU